GGGCCCGUGGUGUAGUCGGCUAACAUACUGGCCUGUCAAGCCAGAGAUCGCGGGUUCGAGCCCCGUCGGGCCCG
rnacentral:tRNA from 2 species